rnacentral:lncRNA from 1 species
UGCAUUUCUACAGUUCAACUUUCUUAUAUACUAAUUUCUAUUAUAGGUUAUCUGUGAUCCAAUGUCAAUCCACUUGUCUUGGUAUCAAAACCAACUUAGAAAUAUUUAUGAAAACUUCUUACAACCUUUGUCACAAACUGAAAUUGCCCAUAAGACCAUAGAUGUCGAUGCAAACAUAUGAUCCUUUACUAUCAAUCCGGUAUCAUCAAGCAACUUGGUGACAAUGCCAUCAAACUCUCAAGUAUAAACCUAGAACACCCAUUCAUCUACCUUUUUCGAAUCCCCUACUAUUCAUGCUUUCUUAAAAAGGUGUCACCAUUUCUAUUGUGCCUCAAUUGUGUACAAAAAUCUUCUUGUGGGCAAUCGAUAGAUGCUUUUGCCGAGAUCACUUAAGGACUCUAUUAAAAUGAUUCCACCUUUUAAACGUAUGGCAAUCAUGGCUUAAAGAUGCUAUUGAUGAAACCUACACUAUCUUCUUCCAUAAGCCCUACACCAAAGAAGGAUUCAAACCUUUAGUUGAAACCCAUACACAAAAGAAUGACAAUACUAAGAAAUUCUAAUUGCUGUGUCCCAAAAACAACAUACCAAUCCUUGUCAAGGUCCAGUCGUUCCAAGACUCUCUUUAAAAGAAUUGAUACCCUCCUUGUAGGGAUCAAACUCAUACCAUUUAAAAUGCAAAAUCAUCUCUCC